rnacentral:misc_RNA from 1 species
CACGUAGCUCUGAAAGUUUCAAUUUUACUAAAUAAAGAUUCAAUUUAUGACCUCGCUAUAUCAUGGUGAAAACUAUACGUAUAGAAUUUUAAUCCAUAGCACAUGUAAGGAUAUAACAGUGUCGAGUAACUUUACACUGUCGGCAUUCGUGUAAUAAGUAGGUAUUUCGUAUUAUCUUAUUCAGAAUGACCGCACUAAGUGGUUUCAUGGAGUUUUUUCAAAAAGGGAAGACAUUCAGACCAAAAAAGAGAUUUGCUCAUGGGACAUUACGAUAUUCUUUACAUAAACAAGCACAGGCUUCAUUAAAUUCUGGAAUUAAUUUAAGAUCUGUUGUAAAAUUACCUCCUGGGGAAGACCUGAAUGAUUGGAUUGCUGUGCAUGAUUUUUUUAAUAGAAUAAAUCUGAUAUAUGGUACUGUUUCUGAAUAUUGUGAUUCUGCAUCUUGUCCCACUAUGAGUGGUGGAGCACGAUUUGAAUAUUUGUGGGCAGAUGGUGAAAAAUAUAAAAAACCUACUGCAUUACCAGCACCACAGUAUGUUAGUCUUCUUAUGGAUUGGAUCGAAGCACAAAUUAAUAAUGAAACUAUAUUUCCUGUCUCAACAGAUGUACCAUUUCCGAAAACAUUUAUACCACUGUGUAGAAAAAUUUUAACACGGUUGUUUAGAGUAUUUGUCCAUGUUUAUAUACAUCAUUUUGAUCGUAUUGUUGCAAUAGGAGCAGAAGCACAUGUAAAUACAUGCUACAAACACUUUUACUAUUUUGUAACAGAAUUUGAAUUAGUAAAUACAAAAGAAUUAGAACCAUUGGCUGAAAUGACUGCUAAGGUUUGUAAGGACACUGCAUCACCAACACAAACCACAGCACCAUCAAACAAUGCUAGAUAGUGGAAAAACUUGUUAAAUGCAUAACUAUGAAGUCCAAAUUAGAAAAAGCAAAUCUUUUUUAAUGAUGCUAUAAACUAUUAUUAUUUCCAUUAAUAUUUAAAAAUUGAGUAUCAGUUGCAUUGAAAACUUCAUUACAUAUAGUGCUUCUGUCUUUCCAUUAUUGUACUAACUGUAAGAGUAAUUUUCCCAUUUGGGGAUAAGUUAUUAAUGUAAGUAUAUCUCUUUCUAGUUAAUCGUAUUAUACGGGAAAUAAAUUGUGCAUUUAUUUUUAUGCACAUCAAACACCAAAUUUGAGUAUUAAUGUAUUAAGGUUUUUUAAAUAUUGUACAUCUUUUAUAGUAUCCACAUUUUUGUGGAUGUAUAGUCAAAACCAACCAAUAAUUACGUUUUUAUAUGUAGAUAUGUUGAAAUUAUUCUUAUUUAAAAUUACGUAUUAAUAGUUAAAUUUAAUAUUGUAUAUUAACUAUCUUUAAAAAUUUAGACAUUAUUUAUGGAAUCAUUUCAUAGACAUACAUAAUUGUAUAAAUCAUUUUUUACCAUUCAAAUGCUUAUGUACUGUUCUUGUAAGUUGUAUUAAAAAUUAAACAAAAUUUGUAUGAAAUUUAAUGACACUGCAACAACGAUACAAAUAGCACACCACUAUUCUAAUAGUACAAAUUUCCGAAAUAAUAAACCCGUUAUAGAAGAUUAUAAUUUAUAACUAAAUAAAUAAU